CACAGGUGGGAUUGCGUUUUAAAUAUUGCAUAGGCAUUAAGUGUGAUUAGGUGGCAACGAAAUCGGGUGAUAAAUGACGUAGUCAUCGUCCGACCGUCCGAACAUUUGAUUUGUUGGACGGUCUUGAGUCCUAAGAGGAGAGUUAGAGGAAUAACCGAAUGAAGGAUGAAAUCUAUAGAUAUUGGUUGGAACAUCGAUAGCGACAGCAUCACUCUAUUUUAGGACUGACACUGAAUCACUAAAGUGUGGGGAGCAAAACGG
rnacentral:rRNA from 1 species